UGUCAGAUGUGGGGUUCGAACCCACGCCCUCAUCAGAGGACCAGAACUUAAGUCUGGUGCCUUAGACCACUCGGCCAAUCUGAC
rnacentral:tRNA from 1 species